AGAGCAGCCAGAUUCCUGCACUUACGCCACUAUUUUGAUGAGAGGUGAGAAGGCAAGCAAACCACAAGCUGAAGAUCAAGGUGGGCAGAAGCAGGAAGCUGGACCUCCAGAUGUGAUCUAUGCAGAGGUGGUGAAGAAAUAGUAAUCGGCAAAGACGACUGAACCCGGGGGAGGAGGCUGCACCAUUUCCAUCCUCAGUCCAGGAGAGACAGCACUCACUACUGACUCCUCCUGGCAUGUCUAUGCUUCUGAAAUACAGUGUAUUCUAGUUAAUUGGGGCAGCCACCUAUUGGGAUGACUCUUAAAAAACAAAAACUGUUUGAGAAAAUAGACACGAUUCCCUUCAGUUCAUUGAGACACUCUGCUGCUUAAUUGUGAUAGGAGCUUGGAAAUGGACAAUUUUAAUCUUGGCACUGAGUAAUGGAACUGAUCAUGAGUUUGUCUUCCACCAUCAGGCCUUGAAACUGCCAUCUCCAGUGAUGGCAUUCUCCACUCUCAUCUUCGCUAGACCUCCCAGGAGAUCACAAAAGUGCCAGAUCAUUUAGUUGCCUCAAAGGUACAUCCUCAAAGGAAAACUGAAGUUUGCAGUGAAUUGCUGUUCAGAAGUUUGUCUAGAAGAGUAUCCACGUGUUUAAAGGUUAAUUUCAUAUCAGAAUGUAUACUGUAUACAACCUGAAAAUCUUACUCUUCACAGACAUCCACAAAAGAAGAAACCCCUUAGAAUGAAUGAGAGAAACAUCGAAGCCCUGAAUCCGCGCCACCAAUCUAUCUACACAAGCAGCAGCAAAACCGUUAACCACACCCCAACCGCCUACCCCCCACCAUGCAAGCAACAGCAGAAACCCCUCAAAGAGACCUUGAUCCAGAGUCCAUCAAAUCUGCAGUCCAUAAUCCAGCACAUUGGUGUCUCAGACAGGCUCAGAGAGGGAGAGAGAUCACACCUGCAACAACGGGAGUGGAGACCAAAACUCACCGUUCUGAUUCUACAACAUUCCACAUCGCUUCUCCAAGCACCACCCACCCAUCUCGAGGAAC